GACGAACGCUGGCGGCGUGCCUAAUACAUGCAAGUCGGGCGAUGAUUAAAGAUAGCUUGCUAUUUUUAUGAAGAGCGGCGAACGGGUGAGUAACGCGUGGGAAAUCUGCCGAGUAGCGGGGGACAACGUUUGGAAACGAACGCUAAUACCGCAUAACAAUGAGAAUCGCAUGAUUCUUAUUUAAAAGAAGCAAUUGCUUCACUACUUGAUGAUCCCGCGUUGUAUUAGCUAGUUGGUAGUGUAAAGGACUACCAAGGCGAUGAUACAUAGCCGACCUGAGAGGGUGGUCGGCCACACUGGGACUGAGACACGGCCCAGACUCCUGCGGGAGGCAGCAGUAGGGAAUCUUCGGCAAUGGGGGCAACCCUGACCGAGCAACGCCGCGUGAGUGAAGAAGGUUUUCGGAUCGUAAAACUCUGUUGUUAGAGAAGAACGUUAAGUAGAGUGGAAAAUUACUUAAGUGACGGUAUCUAACCAGAAAGGGACGGCUAACUACGUGCCAGCCGCCGCCGUAA
rnacentral:rRNA from 1 species